GUUAUCUGGUAGAGUGAAUUAUUUGCAGUGUAAACUGUGUAAUUUAGGAAUAAAAAGUACACCAUAAAAAUCAAGACAGAAUCCCUUUAAUAAACAGGUUGAUCACUUGCAAAGAUAUACCUUAUUAUGGUACAGUUUUGCACCAACCUUUUUAUAUCGACUUAAUUGGUAAAUUAAAGAAGUAAACAGAAGACAUCUGGAAGUGGUUCAAUAUUUAAGCACAAUCCAAUUUGCAAGGUGUUUAUUUAUAAAUAAUGAGACACAAAAUAUAUCCUUUCAUUAGUAGCCACUUGAUCCAAGAAGAUAUGCGGGUGACUGAGACAGCUGUGUCUUUAAUCUACCCUUAUAUGGUUUCAGAUAAAUCCUUUUCUUUUCUCAGAUCGCCCGUGAGCUUAACCAGUUUGGAUUUGACCUGUUUGUAAAGGCUCAAAUGGUGAGCGUGGAUUUUCCCGAAAUGAUGUCAGAUGUGUGUGAAAAAAUUAGGACACCCCAUUAAAUAUUCAGUUCUUUAUUAAGAAAUGUUCACAUAUUGAUGUCUUAUCUUGUUUUAUUUAUCUCUGGAAAAGAAAGUGAUUUCAAUUAACCUUGAUUUACUCAUUCAACAAAUAUAUCAACAAAAAUGUGUAUUCUAACAGAGGAAAAUGUUAGGAUACCCUACCCCCUAAUAGCUUUGGCUUCAGCCAAAACUAUUAGGGGUGAUAACUGCAGUGAGAUGUUUCUUGUAGCCACCUACCAGUCUCUGACAUUGGUCUGAGGAAAGUUUGCCCCACUCCUCAGUGCAGAAUUCUUUCAGCUGUGAGAUAUUUAAGGGUUUUCUUACAUGUUGUCAGGUACUCACCGCAGGACGCGACGAUCGGCGCUUGCGACUCCAGCGUUGUGCGUUCCAGCGUGCGUGUCAGUGACAUCACGAUAAGGCGCUGCACGGAUUCCAGGGAGCCAGGCGGCGCAGCGUGAUGACGUAGGCGUCUCCAUUUAAGUCUGCACAGAGGGGGAUUCCAGUGCUCGGACAUCGUGUUUCCUGGCUACUUUUGAGUAAGUUACUCUCUUACAUAUAUUUGAACUUGGUUUUUGACUUGCUUCUGCACCCUGACUAUUCUAUUGAAUUAACCCUUGGAACCCUGCUUGGAUUUGAAUCUCUGUUGCCAACCCUGCUUGCUGUUUAACCAUUCUCCUGCAUUAACCCUUGGAACUCUGUUUUGGACUUGAACCUCUGUUGCCAACUCUGCUUGCUGCCUGACUAUCCCUCUGUGUUAACCCUUGAUACUUCGCUGUGGACUGAUUAUUGUUGCCGACCUUGCCUGCCUUCUGACCACUCCGCUACGCUUAUCCUUGAUACAUAAACUGUGAUUUACUGUUGCCGACCCUGCUUGUCUGAAGCCUCCACUACUGUUAACCCUUGUUAUCCAGCCUGGAGGCUACUACUCUAUCGUUUGGAACGCCUGCCUAAUCUCUCUGCGCUGUGAAGUUCGUGAUCAAACUUAACUCUGGGCGGAUCUUCAACUCUUGUUGGUCUCCACGCCUGAGCCUGUGUUCAUCUGACAUCAAGGUGCCUUCUAGAACCUUCCCCCGCUACUACAGACCUUCGCUUCCUUUGGCGAUCGCCAUUAAUCCUGUAUUCCUUGUACCUUGCAGUCACGUUAUCCAGCGCCGAAGUCACACUACAGAUCGGUGUAUCCAGCUAAGAUUACAGGCUCCCAUACGUCAUCUUCACUGGCAUCCCUCCGUACCUAUUUGGGGGUAGAUCUGGUGAGGGAGCUGUAUGGGUUGUCUUCCUCAACAAAUUUUAUAAAAUUAUGGAAUGGUAGAAAUAUAUACUAAUGCUAUUCCUUCUCCUUUCAGAUAAAAACUUUGUUAUGAGAUCCCUUCAGGGACAGAUAUUCACCUUUAUAUUUCAUCACUUCCAGCACUACGUGAAGUCAAAAUAAAGGACUACCACUUAUGGACUUUAACUGAUCUUUUAUUAUGUUCUUUUUGAUGGGCAUUUUUGAUAAAAAUAUUUUCACUAAAUUUUUCUACUAAACAGGUUUUUACUGCAAUAUCUUUUAACAUUGUCCUUUUUAACUGCAUUUUCCACUAUGAAAUUUUAUAUCAGUGUAUUGUUAAUUGGCACCUGGAUGCAUAUUUUUUCACUUUAACAUUGCAUUUUAAAUGGCAUCUUGAUAUGUAAAAAUCUUUUUCAAUGCAAAGUACUUUUUUCACAGCAAUGCUUGUUAAAUAUGCUAAUUUGUUAAUUGCACACCCUUUAAAUCAUGUCUGCACUUGUCCACACUAUGCUUGACAAAGGGGCGUGACCCCGAAACGUUGCACUACUGCAUAAUAAAAUUGCAAGGGCUUGCCCUGCUACUACAAUUCCUGUGUGCCGGUGAAAUUCUUCUUACCCUUGUCUUCCUCAACAUCUGUGGUUCCACCUGGAUCGAUGGUCUGACAUGUUCCUCAAGCACCCUCUCAUACACAGUAGAUUCUAUGAUGGCGAGCUGGCCAGGUCCUGCUGCAGAAAAACAUCCCCAAACUAUGACACUUCCACCUCCAUGCUUUACAAAUCCUUUCACUGCACAAGGUUAAUGCUGGUCAAAGAAUGGGUUAAAAACAAUAGUAUAAGCUGUUAGUGUAUAGAUCCUGGGGAAUAUCUGCUGCUUAUUUUCUUCUUAUAAUUUGUAGAUGGACAAAAAAAAAAGCAACAAAUAAAAUGUUUGUUUUUUUUUGGUUUUUAUUCGUUUUUAAAAAUGCUACAGCUGUCAUUUUAUAAUGUAUAUAAAAUUCUAUGUAUAUGUAUAAAAUGUAUAUGGAUUGAUAUAUCGCAAGCAAUCUGCAUCUUGUCUUUCUUUUUGGUUUGGCUUGACACACCUAUAAAGUUGAGUGUGAUUGUGUGUCCUGCUUGUAAAAUGUUUUUGUGUGCCAAAUGGGGCAGCAGUCAGGGUAAUCUAAUCAUACCGGGAUGCGCAGAACAAGUCACCGUGACCUCUUUGCAGAUAAGGGACGUUCCACAGGAUUCACAUGAAAUAAAACAUGAUGGAAAUUGGUGAGAAAAUUACAUGAUUAUGAAGAGGUAGAGAUAUUCAGUGAACAUGUACCUUGUAUUGUGUGUGUGUGAGAUAGCACCAAUCGAACUUCAAUUUAGCAUUUGUAAUGCUUUACCAGUCAUUGUCCCGUUUCUCAUCUUCCUAUUCUGUCAUUUAAUAAUUCAAAAGGACAUUACUUAAAAGUAAAACUACUAUAGAAAAACCUAAAUUUUACAUUUCCUGAUUUUGAUCUUUUUCUCACUAUAUGACUUUAUUCGUGGGCCUACCUAUACAGUAUAUAAAGCAUAAUGCAUUUCUUUGAUUUUAUAUUUUCCUGGAUUUUGCAUUAUUUUUCUGGUCCCCUGAAAAAACCUAAAAUGAGGUUUCUAUUGUUAUAUAUCCAGAAUGCUUGGGGCCUGGGUUUUCAAGAUAAGGGAUCAUUUUGUAUUUUGGAACACCCUGCCUUAAGUCUGAUAAGAAAU